rnacentral:rRNA from 1 species
AUUGAACGCUGGCGGCAGGCCUAACACAUGCAAGUCGAGCGGCAGCGGAAAGUAGCUUGCUACUUUGCCGGCGAGCGGCGGACGGGUGAGUAAUGUCUGGGAAACUGCCUGAUGGAGGGGGAUAACUACUGGAAACGGUAGCUAAUACCGCAUAACGUCGCAAGACCAAAGAGGGGGACCUUCGGGCCUCUUGCCAUCAGAUGUGCCCAGAUGGGAUUAGCUAGUAGGUGGGGUAACGGCUCACCUAGGCGACGAUCCCUAGCUGGUCUGAGAGGAUGACCAGCCACACCGGAACUGAGACACGGUCCAGACUCCUACGGGAGGCAGCAGUGGGGAAUAUUGCACAAUGGGCGCAAGCCUGAUGCAGCCAUGCCGCGUGUAUGAAGAAGGCCUUCGGGUUGUAAAGUACUUUCAGCGGGGAGGAAGGUGUUGAGGUUAAUAACCUCAGCAAUUGACGUUACCCGCAGAAGAAGCACCGGCUAACUCCGUG